rnacentral:lncRNA from 1 species
CCAACAUGUAAAGAGCUUAGAAGUCAUCACUACCAUCUUACAGGAAGCUGUUUUAUGAGUGACAUAAGGAGAGCACACACAGGAAUGAGCUGAGGCAGAGUAUAGUGAAAUUGGUACAUGAAAUAAUGAAGAAAAGAUGCACUCAUUGGUGGGAAUUGAAUCUAGUUGCCCUCUGUAGGCCCAAUUUCUCUGCUGCAAAGAAGGCUCCUGGUAUUUACAGCCAUUUAAAAGAAAGGCAAGGAAAUGUCCAUAAAGGAUUUUAAUGGAUUCCUAAUAACAUUAACUUAGCUCGAUACUCUCUGCUCCUCUUAGACUGAUUUUUAAAAGUUUUCCUAGAAUGUGAGCAGUUCCUCAGUUUACAGGUUAAAAGAAAGAGUUGCCCUCCCAGAGACAAGUUAGACUACCCUCUAAAGAGUGCUGUCAAACCAAUACUGUGCCAGGCCACAGGAGAGACAUCCUGAUGAAUGCUGGAACUUGGCUAUUGCUAUCAUGGUUUAUAAGCAUAACAGAUAGCCUAGACACUAUGGAUGGAAGCUUGGAAUAUCAUCGGAUAGAGUGGCACCAUCAGAGGAAUUCCUGGUAUUACCAAAUGAAGUAGGCAUGGGAACAGUUUUUGUGACAAAUAUUUUGGAUGUCUUCACUCUACCCCUCACCCACUGUAGGGAAGUGAAGGCAUGAGAAUUUGAACAGAAGAGACACCCUACUACCUGUACUUCCUACACAAGACCCAGUGACCACAGGCUCCCAACAAAUGAGCCAGGCCUCUGCUUAUUCUUCAACACGCAUAUCACAUCACCCUAGCAAGAAAUGGAUUUCCUCUGCAUUAUUGUUUAUCUGGAGAGAAUAACAGUUCACAAAGUCCAAUCAGAUCAAAGCAACUUCAUGAUCGAAUUAAGCCUCACAUGGAUUCAAAAACACUUCUAUUGAGUACCUGUGACAUUGCAUAAAAUGACUACAGCUUCAAGCACAAUGUCAAUGAAAUAAAAGUUAUACCUUGUGAAAUA